rnacentral:rRNA from 1 species
UCAAUUUUUUAUCCGCAAGGAUUUUAAUUAAUUAGCUGCGAACGGCUGAGUACAAGAUAGGAAUCUACCUCUUGGUGGAGAAUACCCAUCCGAAAGGAUGGCUAAUACUGCAUAAGAUCUUUUCGAUGAAAGUCGCAAGACGCCGAGAGAGGAGCCUAUCCCCCAUCAGUUAGUUGGUGAGGUAAUGGCUUACCAAGACUACGACGGGUAGGGGGUGUGAGAGCAUGAUCCCCCAGAAUGGGACUGAGACACGGCCCAUACACCUACGGGUGGCAGCAACCGGGAAUCGUACGCAAUGGACGAAAGUCUGACGUCGCGACGCCGCGUGAGGGAUGAAGGCAUUCGUGUUGUAAACCUCUUUUGCCAUGUGUGAGAACACUUGGAGAAUAAGCACCCGCUAACCUCGUGCCAGCAGCUGCGGUAAUACGAGGGGUGCAAGCGUUAUCCGGAUUUACUGGGCGUAAAGCGUUUCGUAGGCGGCGCCAUAAGUUACACUUCAAAGACCGGGGCUCAACCUCGGAAAGGGGUGUAAUACUGUGGUGCUAGAUGCAUUUCGGGGCUUCUGGAACUGUCGGUGUAGGGGUGAAAUCCGUUGAUAUCGACAGGAACUCCGAGGGCGAAGGCAGGAAGCUAGGAAUGUCAUAACGCUGAGGAACGACCGCUAGGGGAGCGAAAGGGAUUAGAGACCCCUGUAGUCCUAGCCGUAAACUAUGCUCGCUUGCUCCUUUCACUUUUGUGGAGGGGGCGUAAGCUAACGCGUGAAGCGAGCCGCCUGGGGAGUACGACCGCAAGGUUAAAACUCAAAGGAAUUGACGGGGACCCGCACAACCAGUGGAGUAUGUGGUUUAAUUCGAAACGAACCGAAAAACCUUACCCAGACUUGACAUGCUAUCGUUUAUUCGAAUGGAAACAUUUGGAAAUCCCCAAGAAAUUGUGGAUGAUAGCACAGGUGUUGCAUGGUUGUCGUCAGCUCGUGCCGUGGGGUGUUCCCUUCAGUGGGGUAACGAGCGCAACCCCUAUCCUAUGUUGAAUUGUUCAUAGGAGACUAUCCACCUUUGGUGGGAGGAAGAGGGGACGAAGUCAAAUCAGCAUGGCCCUUAUGUCUGGGGCUACACACAUACUACAAUGGAGCCGACAAUGGGUUGCCAAGCCGCGAGGCGGAGCUAAUCCCAUCAAACGGCUUCUCAGUUGGGAUUGCAGGCUGCAACUCGCCUGCAUGAACGCGGAAUUGGUAGUAAUCGCGGAUCAGCUAGGCCGCGGUGAAUACGUUCUCGGGUCUUGUACACACCGCCCGUCAAGGCAGCAAAGUUGGGGGCACCCGAAUCUCGCAUGUAGCGGGAGAAGGUGACACCAGCGAUGAGGCUUAAGUCGUAACAAGGUA